UGCAGGGCUGCACAUAUCUCUAGCCUUCCUUGUAAAAGUCUCCAGAAUAGAUGACUUAUGCAGAAAGAGGAUCAAAUAAAAUUUAAACUUCUAGAAGAAGCCCUGUUUAUUUGAUAUUUUUGCUGGAGAAACACCCCCUUUACCCCCAGUUAAUUCACACUGAUUUUUAGAAAAUAAGCUCUUUUGCAGGAUCUUGCAAGAUGGCAGGAGCCAAAGGACUGUGCAGAGCCUUGUGUUGCAGUUAGAGUUCAAAAAGAUGAGGAAAACAAGCCCCAGACAUGACUCCUGGACAAGGCGAGGCUCUGGGCCCCUGUACCAUCACUGCUGUGCUCUGCCCUUGAGGUGUGUCAGGCACUGGACUCCACCACAGGUCCUAAAUGAGCACAUUUAGGAGGCUUUGGGGAUGCUGUAGUUGAACCAGAUUUAUGGCCAGGAUACUCCGCUGCACCACUAGCCAUACGACACUGUGUGGAGACUGUCUGACUGUUGUCUCGGGAAGGUGUGGGGAGAAAGCGGAGAGUGUCAUUGCACUACCUCAGCCCCUGAAGGGUUAAAAAAGUACAUUGAAAUGAAUACAAACGACAGAGGCACCGCCUUGCUGAAAGUCACUCGUUUCAGCAAGGAAAAAAAAAAUCUUUUGAGCUCCAGGUGAAUUAAAAAAAAAGUAGGGAAUGACUAAACUGCAUAAAUAAAUAAAUAACACACACCAGAUUUCACCUCCAAGGCGCUCAAUAAAAUUACACUUUGAAAUGCAAGGAUUAAGCAGGGUAGGUGACAAGGUAACUUUGUUAACAGGCUAAUCUCUCGCUUUAACAGAGACAGGGGAUUUACAUGUGACUGCACAAAACUGUUUUAUGGUCUCUUUCCAGCUGGAGGUGGUAGAAAGGGGGCAGGAUGAGAUGGGACAGGGUUGGAUGUUUCAGAGCCAUUUGUAAGAUGCGUUUAAACUGCUUUUUUAUUUAGGUUUGUUUAUGGUUUUUUUAAGCAAGUCUGCAUGGAAAUGUGUCACCAAUAAUCAGCUGUUACCAAACAGUUCAGUAAGGGAUGAUGAAGAUAUCACGGGAUGAUGAAUAAUUGGGUAAAAACAUUGGUGGUGCCAUUCCUCCCUGAAUGGUUUUAUUUGCUUUCUUAUAAAAAGGCAACCAGCAGCAUGGGCUAUUCAAAAUGUUAUGUCAGGACUUCUUUUGCCCUGAGACUUUCCCCUGAAUUUCACUGCUUCUUACCCCGGGGAUGUAGAAAAUCUAAAUCCAGACUACUUUUUUUAAAAUAGCCCUUCUGGUUUGUGUGGAGGGAAAAAAGAAAAAAAAAAAAGAAAAAGAACAAAAAAAAUAGCUUCAUGUCUUUAAAUUUCUGUCCAUUACUAAAAUGUGACAGUGACAGGCGGAUGAAUCUAAAAUGAGACCUAGGUCCUCCUGCAUGGGUUUGUUCCCCCAAACCCUAAGAUGCCCACUUCAUUUCACCAGGGUGCAGCCACUCCCUGCCAUCCUUCCUUCCUGAACCAGGCAGAGUGCUCCUCGUUUUGGAUCUCAAGCAUUCACAUUAAACCACCCCUAGUGAACCAGAGGAGGUGCAGAAGAGCAACCAGGAGUUCAAACCUUCUCCAGGCUUCGUUGUUUCUGGAUAAAAAUGACAAUGAGAAAGUUCUCUCCUCCAUAAUGUUCAUUUGAAAUUCAACAGAAAACAGCACACUGAACAUGUUCUCUGG